UCGUGCUUUAACUAUUACAUCCAAGUGGCCGUGGUGUCACUGGCGCAAAAGGACGCAAUGGCUCGAAAAUCCUUGGUAGUUCUGCGGAGCGCCCAAUUGUGCACCCGUUAAGUGGUAAUAGUAGUAUAGGUACAGAAAAUAAUGCUAGCUCUCAGCAGGCAAAAAACAUGUUUACUGUAGCCUACUGCUACCAGUCGACGUACUAUGCCCUGAAACCUAAUUCCAACCCACCAGAAUAUUACUUCAUAACAAGAGGAACGCUUCCACCCCAGUACGCACAAACCAUAGGACUUCCGGAAGCGCCUCGCAUGGCUAAGUUUUAGAGACGGUUUUACUGCAAAGCAUGUAACUUACCCGUUUGCUCACCAAAGUGUUCAAAGAAUUUCUUUUACGGUGUGACAUGAUUUUAGUUUUUUCUUGCCAAUCAAGAUUUCAAACCAAUCCAACAGUUGCAAGCUGAAGCUGUUUAUAUGUGAAUGUUGUACUUCUGUACUUUUUUUAUAACUGCCAGAGCAAAGAAAAAGCUUUGUUUUAAUGUAAACAAGACACUAA